rnacentral:rRNA from 1 species
UUGGAGGGCAGUCUGGUGCAGCAGCCGCGGUAAUUCCAGCUCCAAUAGCGUAUAUUAAAGUUGUUGCAGUUAAAAAGCUCGUAGUUGAAUUUCGGGGUCAGUAGGUCGGUCGUGCCACUGGUAUGAACUGGUUUUACUGAUUCCUCCCUCUUGAAGAACUGUAAUGCCAUUAAUUUGGUGUUGCAGGGAAUCAGGACUGUUACUUUGAAAAAAUUAGAGUGUUUAAAGCAGGCUUUAGCUUGAAUACAUUAGCAUGGAAUAAUGAAAUAGGACGUUUGAUCCUAUUUUGUUGGUUUCUAGGAUUGACGUAAUGAUUAAUAGGGAUAGUUGGGGGCAUUAGUAUUCAAUUGUCAGAGGUGAAAUUCUUGGAUUUAUUGAAGACUAACUACUGCGAAAGCAUUCGCCAAGGAUGUUUUCAUUAAUCAAGAACGAAAGUUAGGGGAUCGAAGACGAUCAGAUACCGUCGUAGUCUCAACCAUAAACUAUGCCGACUAGGGAUCGGAUGAUGUUAAUUUUUUAAUGACUCAUUCGGCGCCUUACGGGAAAC